rnacentral:tRNA from 1 species
GGUAGCACGACAGACUCUGACUCUGUUUGUUGGGGUUCGAAUCCCUAUUCCCCAGCCA